rnacentral:lncRNA from 1 species
ACGCGGAGAGGACUGUUGAUUUAGGUGAGGAUUCUGAUACUCUAGUGUUUUUUGGUAGUAUUGACGGUUUUACUGUUUCCAAAAAAAAUAAUAGAGUUUCUGUGGAAAGUUUGCAUUCUGAAAGUCCAAAUGUUAAUUUAGGUGACACUGAGCCAAUUGUGAUUGAAACUGAAAGUAUUGAAAUUGGGGCCACAGAAGUUGUUGAUUUAGAUUUUGAAGGGAAUUGUGAAGAAUUCUUGACUGAAAACACUGUUAAUGUGGAUAAAAGGGUGAAAGAAACCAUAGUAGGCUGUGGGGGUGUUAAUAGUUGUAAUGCAGGAGCAAAUGAUGGAGUGCAUUCGGCUAGCAAGAAUAUUGAAGAUCUUGAUAAAUUUAAAUAUGUGCCUUGUGGAGGAACCGAUAAAUGUGGAAUGGAGAGAGGUGUUUCAGGGAAGCGUGAAUUACCGCGCUCUUUUAAGGAGCCGGAAAAGAAUGAAGGGUUGUGGGUUCCUCGCGUUUCUUCACGUAAUAAAAAACCUUUCAAAGAUCUUUUUGAUGUUGGGGGAAUAGUUGUUGAUGAUUCUAAAGAUACAGAUUUCCUUGAAAUUGCUAAGGAACGGGGCAUAAUUUUUCCUCGCCCUAGGUGGUGGCCACCAGAGGGUUUUGGUGGUCAAGGUUUGGAUUGAAUAUGGUGUUUUAAAAGAAGCAGCCUUUGAAGAAUAGCCAUUGUAUACAUGUUAGCACUUUCCCUAGUAGAGCUAAUAG